ACAAUUUAUGAUGAUCAACAAGGGACUUAAUACUGAUGUGUGAUGUCACCUGUUUUAUUCUGAAUUUG
ensembl:snoRNA SNORD82 Small nucleolar RNA SNORD82